rnacentral:rRNA from 1 species
UACGUAGGGCGCAAGCGUUGUCCGGAAUUAUUGGGCGUAAAGAGCUCGUAGGCGGUUUGUCGCGUCUGCUGUGAAAACCCGAGGCUCAACCUCGGGCCUGCAGUGGGUACGGGCAGACUAGAGUGUGGUAGGGGAGACUGGAAUUCCUGGUGUAGCGGUGGAAUGCGCAGAUAUCAGGAGGAACACCAAUGGCGAAGGCAGGUCUCUGGGCCAUUACUGACGCUGGAGGAGCGAAAAGCGUUGGGGAGCGAACAGG